CCUACGGGAGGCAGCAGUGGGGAAUAUUGGACAAUGGGCGAAAGCCUGAUCCAGCAAUGCCGCGUGAGUGAUGAAGGCCUUAGGGUUGUAAAGCUCUUUUACCAGGGAUGAUAAUGACAGUACCUGGAGAAUAAGCUCCGGCUAACUCCGUGCCAGCAGCCGCGGUAAUACGGAGGGAGCUAGCGUUGUUCGGAAUUACUGGGCGUAAAGCGUGCGUAGGCGGUGACUCAAGUCAGAGGUGAAAGCCUGGAGCUCAACUCCAGAACUGCCUUUGAAACUAGG
rnacentral:rRNA from 1 species